GACGAACGCUGGCGGCGUGCUUAACACAUGCAAGUCGAACGGAAAGGCCCUGCUUUUGUGGGGUGCUCGAGUGGCGAACGGGUGAGUAACACGUGAGUAACCUGCCCUUGACUUUGGGAUAACUUCAGGAAACUGGGGCUAAUACCGGAUAGGAGCUCCUGCUGCAUGGUGGGGGUUGGAAAGUUUCGGCGGUUGGGGAUGGACUCGCGGCUUAUCAGCUUGUUGGUGGGGUAGUGGCUUACCAAGGCUUUGACGGGUAGCCGGCCUGCGAGGGUGACCGGCCACAUUGGGACUGAGAUACGGCCCAGACUCCUACGGGAGGCAGCAGUGGGGAAUAUGGCACAAUGGGCGGAGGCCUGAUGCAACAACGCCGCGUGCGGGAUGACGGGCUUCGGGUUGGAAACCGCUGUCGCCUUUGACGAAGCGUUAGUGACGGUAAUGGGUAAAGAAGCACCGGCUAACUACGUG
rnacentral:rRNA from 1 species